UUUGUACGAUUUUUCAUGGUGUAGGCUUUCGCUCAUCAUCUGGUUGUGAAAUGUGAAUUUAUAUCAUAUCACAGCCAGCUUUGAUGAGCGCAAGAGUGCACUGAUGACGUCAGGUACGAAA
rnacentral:pre_miRNA from 15 species